rnacentral:lncRNA from 1 species
UCCCAGUGUUAUAAUUCUCAGCAACGACACUCCAGAGGAGCAUUAAAUUAAACCAGUACGCCAUCAACUAGCACGUUUUCCAUGUCACAAACUCCAACAAAGAACACCUUGUUUGGCUUGGCCAUUGAUUAUUGUUGUUUCUCCCCUUCCAAGGAAAACACUUAUUACUGUUAUCUUAUCACUAUCACAACAGCAUUUUCACUUGCAUCGGGUCAUUGUCAAUUCGUGGCCUUUAUUUCUUCAGGUCUAAUGCACAAAUCAGCCUUUAUGGUUUUUAUUAUAUUCAAAAAUAUUAAUUUUUUAUAAAAUUAACUACUAUUUCUUUUAUAUAUAAAAUAUAAUUAAAGAAAUAAAUCAGUAAUUUCAAAGUAAAAGUAUAAGUUGAUAUUGAAUUUAUUAUUAUAAAUUAGAAGUCCACAAUUAUUUAUAUUAACUUCAGAUAAUAUAAGUAUGAGUUUUGCCAUAAGUUAGUUUUAAAAUAAUUAAUUAAUAUAUUUUUAUUUACUAUAUUUUUUAUUUGUAUGAUUUAAUCUGAUUAAAAUUUAAAUAUUUUAAAACUUGUAUUAAUAAAAUUAAAUUGUUUUACAAUCAUUCUUAAAUAAUAAUAUAAAAUUAAAUAUUCUUAGUUUAAAAAUAUUAUUACUAUCAUUAUUUUUAUCAUACAUUAAAAUUAAACCAUAUGAAAGAUAAAUGUUUUAAUCCAAUUUGAUAAAAAAACAUUUCAUAUUAUAAUCUAACUAAAUAAUCUAACAUUGAUUAACUUCACAAAAGAAAUAUUAAAAUUGAUAAAUAUUUAUCAAUAAAAAAAUUUAUAAAUACUAAAAUUGAUAAAUAUUUAUCAAAAAAAAUGAUAAUUUUGUAGUUUAAAGAUGCAGCUUUCUAUCGAAAAUCAAAUAAAAUUAGUAUACAAUUAGUAUACGUAAACUAUUCACUUUUUAGUAUAUUUUAAUUUUGAUAUCUAAUAAAAAUAAUAAUUAUUAUAUAUGUAUUUUAUUUAAUAAUUUAAGACUAAAUGUAUUUUUAACACGUUUAAAUUUUCUUAGAUUAAAUGGUGCUAAAAACAAAAAUUAAAACAAGUAAAAAGAUAUAAAUUAAUUAAAUUAUUUUUAUAAAUAUAAAUUGUGCUAAAAUAAAAGAUUAAAACAGUAACAAAAUAUAAAUUAAUUAUUUUAUUAGAUAAUAAAAUUAAUUUGUGCCAAAAUAAGAUUUUAUCUUAUUUGGAUAAAAUAAAUAAGUUGAGUAUUUCAUUAUCUUUUUGUUUUUGAGUUUUUAGCUAUCUUUCAUCUUCUUUAUUGGUUCUCCAGUGGAGACUGAUAGGGACUUCAAGUGCUAUCAUGACUCAUCUAAAAAUUUUUAGAAUAGAGAGUUUAUUUUUGACAUUAAAUUUGAAAAAGGAGAUUAAGUUGAAGAGGGAAUAAAGCUUGAAUUUUUGCAUCGUCUAAUUGCCAAAUAUAUAGGUUGGUUCUAGCGAAAUAAAAAGUGGAAGGGAGCUGGCCACACUGGAAAAAUCUUAUAGUAGGAGUUUGAGAGACUAAGAUAGCUGGAGUAGGAAAAAAAAAGAGAAAAAUGAUGAUAGGAAAAAAAAUAUUGGAAAGAAAGAGAAAGAAAGAUGUAUAUAAAUUAAAAACUAGUUUCACAUACUUUAUAAAUAUCUAAUAUAUACCUUUUAUUGUUGAACAUUUUUUUUUAUAGAAAAAAUUUAAAAUAGCUAAAAUAAACUACUAAUUGAUAUAUAUAUACCUUUUGCUAUUGAAUUUUUUAGAAUUUGCAUUCUGUUUUAUUUGAAAAAGUUUGAGAUAUCUAGCAGAUAUUUAAAGUGUAUUAUUUUCUUAUUAAACAUUUAGCUUUUUUACUUUUAUUUUUAAAUAUUUUUAUUUACAUUCUUUUUAGCUUUUUAAAAUAGUUGCUGAUAGUGUAAAUAUUGACUAAAUUAUUCAUUUAACGUUUUAAUAUUGAAGAAAAUUGGAAUUUCAUAUCAUUAGCAUUUAAACAUAAACAUAAUUAAAAUUCAACAUAUAUUUUAUUCAGUUUCUGUCAAAAGUGUACCAGACAUAUAUUUUUUCUUUAACAUAUACCUGACAUAAUUCUCUUUCCAUUUUAUAGCCAUUUUUUCUCUUUUUCAAAUAUAAUAUUAUCAACAUAUUUUCACAUUCUUAAACUAAGAAAAUAACUUUUUAAAUUUUUUAUGUAUUUACUUUAUCACUAAUAUCAUAAAAUUAACCAAAAUGCAAUACCAUUUCAAAAAAGUUAUUAUCAUUUAAAUUUGUUUUUUAUUAAAAGUAUAUUAAAUAUAUACUGUUCUUUCCAACACAUACCAUUUCACUUUGUUGUGAUUUUUUUUAGUUGUUUAGCUAUGAUAUUAAAAACAUAUCUCCACAUUCUUAAAUUAGUAAAAUAACUCCUAAAUUUAUAUUUAUUCAUCACUGGUAUUUAAAAAAGAUUAACCAAAUUGCAAUAAUAUUUCAUACAGACUAAAUAUGUAUUGUUGAAUCUAGAGAUUUUUUUUGAAAUUUUCAAAAUUUACUUAUAUUUUAUGAUAUUUAUUUUCUGUCAAUGAUAAUUUUGAUGCUGAAUCACUUCUAAAAUCAAUGUUGUUAGUUAGUUUCUUAUAUUGAUUUUUGCAACUAUAUUUUUUGGUAUUUAAUCAUUGGCAUUUUAUAUUUGGUUUUUAGUUUUAUUUUUAUUUUUUAUUCUUGGUUUUCUUUGAAGAAAUUCAAAUCUAGGUAUCUUUAUAAAUAAAAUCAUAUUUUAAGGUAUCUUUAUAAUAAAAAUUAUGUUUUAAAGUAUUUUGUUGUCAUCAAUUUUUGCAGAUAUUAUCUUGUGAUUAUUCUAUAUUUUGUGACAAUUAUAAAUAAAUUCUUAAAACUUAGUGUUUAUAAUUUAUUCCUAUUAUGUGGUUUUUUAAAAAAUCAAUUAGAUAAAAAUUAAUUUAAAAUAAAACAGGCAACAACAGUUAUAGCAAAGGAUAUUGAAAGGAUAUUAUUACUUUUGUUGUUGUUUUCUUAUAUUUAAUACCAAUAGACUCAACAAUUGCAACAACAAGAAUAAUAACAACACAACCAAGAAUAGCAACAAUAAUAGAAUCAAUUGUGUUGUCUUUUCCUCACCCCUACCCCUACAUUAUUUACCUCACUAUCAUUAAGGAAAAAGGUAAAAACACAGACAAGAGCAAAGAUAUCAACAACAAUAAGAUACAGGCUAAAUUGAGCCUGCAUGUAAAGUUCUAUUAGUUUUAGUAUACUCACUUAAAAGAGAUUGCCUUUAAGAGCUACGAGAUUGCCCGAAGAGCUAUUAAAUCUCUCGAAAAAUUAUGAGAUUGCUGGAAAAACUAUGAAGCUCCAUGAAGAACUAUUAGAUCUCCUACAUUCCACAAUAUAUGAUCUCUAUCAAAUAUCAUGGUCAAGUACUACAUCCUCCACUUCCUAAAAAAUAUGAGGCUAUGUCUUCAUCAGUUAAGGCACUUCUUCUAUAUACUCUAAUUAAUCAUCUAUAAAUACUAAAAGUCACUUCAUAUGUGAGGUAACUCUAUUUUAGACCUUUAAACUUUGUUAUAUAAAGUCUCAAUACAUUGCUGAUUUAAACAUCAGAGUGGUUUCUCCAUGUAAAGUGCCCAGACCAUUCUGACAUAGAUCUUUCUAAUAUAGAUCUUCCAUCUACAACUCUCCCUUGUAAAUCUUUUCAAUAUAGAUCGUCCAUCUUUAGCUUUAUCGUAUAAAUUUCUAUAACUUUAUUUCAGCUCUCCAAGCAACAUAGGUUUCCGAGUAAGUUGUCAAAUUCAGGUCAAUGACAUAAAAAAUAAUUGCUAGCAUAGAGUUAUUUAUUUAAUAUUAUUUUUUAUAACUAUUGUUUUUCAAGGCAACCAUAAAUGACGAAUGAAAAAGGUCCUGUUUAUUCAGUAUAUAUAAUAUAUAUUUUUUAUUAGGAUAAAGUUCAUACCUGUUAAUUAUUAGCGUUAGUAGAAUAAACGACAGCACCCUUUUCUGAAUCUAGAUAUCAAGGAGAAUACGAAUAACCAUAUGAGGCUAAGGUUGAGAUUAAUCCAAUUGGAAUUACCUUUUUAAUAUCAUUUGGACUCAAUUGUCAAGAAAACUAAAGUUUGAGGGUUAAAACGAUAGCUUUCACAAAUUUAAAGACCUAAUUUCAAAGUUUUUAAAUUUUUUAUGUGUAGAGACAAUCGAUGCUACAUAGUGUUGAUUUAUUCUUUUACACUCAGACAUUUUUCUAGAUGAUUUUACAUUCAAAUACAGAUUCUAGAAGGUUUUUGACCAUAAUCAUGAAUUUUUAAUUAUAAUUAUUUAAAUUUAAAGAAUUAAAUUUAGAUUUUUAUUAACAUUAUUUUUUAAAAUAAUUGAAAUUAUCUCUUUCUCUUAGGGUUUCCUUUGAAAUCCUACCUCUAUAAAUAGAAAGAUGUGAUUAAGAUUAGGGUUAACAAGUAACAAUGGGUAACAACGAGAGAUAACAAAAAAUAAAAAAAGAAUAAUAACGAGAAACAAACAGAAAAAACAAGAAAGAAAAAGAGAAAUAAAAUUAUCAUUCUUAUUCGGGCAGAGAAUUCAAGUCACUAAAAAAGAAACCACUCAAGAAAGAACUAUUUUUGAAAACUUAUUUUUAAGUCGAUAUAAGUUUUCUUAACACUAGAUCCAGCAUUGGACUCCUAACCAUUUUUUGACUUUACUGCCUCCUUAUCACCUGAGACAUGCAGAACCAUCAACUACGGCGACAACUUGAGGGUUUCUCCAAACAUGCUUCUGUCAUCAUCUUAAAAUCAGAUUCUUUGUCCUUUUAUUUUAUUUUUUUGUUAUUCAUUAUUAGAAACAUGAUUAGGGUUACUGAUGUUAUUUAUGAUUAGAAUGAUUAGAUUAGGGUUUCUUGUGAAUCUGCAUAUUAAUUGGAUUUUGAAUCUAAUAAAAAGAACUCUAAAAUUUUGAAUAUGAUAAUUUGCCAAUUAGAAUUUUGAAUCAGGUUAGACAUAUGCAAUAGGAUUAAUGAUUAGAUUUAUAUUUUCAUCAUGAUAUAGUAAUUAAAUAUGUUUAAUAUGAUUAGAUGACUGAUUUGCUAUCUUUUUGUUUACUGUACUUUUAGUUUUUAGGGUUUCGGUCAGUUUUAGGGUUUUUGAUCGUUCAAUUAAUUCAUGUUAUUUUUAUUUUUAUUUUUAUUUUUAUUUUUAUUUUUAUUCUUUUCAUAUCUAAUUAAUUAUACUCUCUGUGCAUGUAAAAUUUCUGCUAUGGGGAUACGAGAUACACUAAUGAAUCGACAGAAAACUCAUUUAGAACCCUAGAUCGGUUGUGCAUUCUUCAGUCCUAGAUAUUUUAGCUUUGGACGAUUUGAUGUAUGAUAUAUUGUAUUGGAUUUUUAGGACUUUUCCUUCACAAUUUUAGUUGUAGGAUGUGUUGUAAUAAUUAGGUUUAUUUUCUGCUUUAUUUUAUUUAUUUUGCUUAUUGUGUGAUUAUAAAAUAUAUGUUUAUGUAAUUGAUUAAUUAAAAUGGGCCACAUAGACUUAGGGCUAAAAUUGGACGUAGCAUGAAUAUUAUAGUCCAAUAGGUUAAUCAACAUUAACUAGGCCUAAAACCUAAAAUUGAAGUAGACUUAGUGGGCCUUAGCAUGUUUUAAUUAGGAUUAGGCUUCAUUAGAAUUAGGAUUACAAUGAACGAACAUAUCAUAAUAAAUAAUCCAUUAGGUCUAAAGGUUGGAAAUCAAAAGCAUAAUAUAUAAUUUGGCUAGACUAGGUGGCUAUAUUUACAUAAUUAACUAGUAAAUUAGGCUAACAACUUCAAUAUGGGCAAGGCUUGAAUAAAAUAAGUUAGACUAGGGUGAAUUAUGUGUGUUAUUUGAGAAGCCUGUGUAUAGAUUGCUUGUAUUUAUAGGAAAUAAUUUUUUAAACAAUAAUAUUAAAGACUAAUAUACACAAAUAAAGAAGUUGACUUCCGGAUCCAUCUUUGGAUUUUAUGGCGUAAGCUUCCUUAUGGAAUCUGAGAAAUACCACUCAUUAGUAAAAGUGUCUUGAUGAUUACCUGGGCGGCGACUUCCCAUCUCCGCGCUAGUCUCAGUGACUAGUUAGCAUGUUACCAAUUAGGUUCAAAAGCCUUACAGUGCCGUAGUCACUACAGACACUUGGGUGUCCACCCGAAACCGCCGCCCACAGUGGCGACUUCACUAGGGAUAAGAGAAGCUGAUUCUAGUGUAUGUUUAUCUUUAUUUUUAUUUUUUAAGAGAUUAUUCUUGCAUCACUACACCAUUAUCACACAUUGUACACUUUGGUCCCUAUUGUCCCAAUGGCAUCGAUUAGUGGUUCGAAUCUUAGAAUUGCGAGACUGGCUAACCAUUACUAAGUAAUGAGUGAAUUUCCUUCGUCUCAUGGAUCCUUGAGUGGGAAGACGAGCCAAGGAAGAAAACUUUUUACUUGUAGGAGCCUUUUAUCCUUCCCAAAGACCCAGCUCAUGGUAAUGGCCGUAGUAAUCUCCCUUAGGAACCCUAUUGCUUACUAUAUGGGAUAUUUUCUUGUAAGUAUCUUAAGCCUAAGUAUUAAAAGGCCUUGGCCUAAAAAUGUGGAACCAGGCUCUAGGCAAAAAAUAUGUUGGCUUUUAUGCUUAUACCGAGAAACAUUACCAUGUUUGUUUAAAUAUACUUUGAGAGCUUAUGACAUCGCAUCAGGCCUACUAUCCUCUGUUGAUAAAAAGCCUAGACCUAAAAUCCUAGAAAAGAAAGACUUACCUAGAACCGUGUGUGGGAGUAAUAAGGUUGGAAGGAUGAACUGUAUACUAUUGUGUAUACUCACUUCAUUUUCUUUUGUCAUUAUGCAUUGCACGUGCAUCAUACAUCUCAUGCAUCAUACUAACCUUUGUUUUUUAGACAUAUAGACUCUCUUAUGGAUUUGAAGAGACAAGAUAGUGAAAGAUUAAAAAGAGUGCCUAUUUCUUCAAGAAUCAGAGCUAUGUUAGAGCACCUAGAAAUACCAAAACGCCAAGCUACCGAAGAGAUGGCCAACAAAAGAGCUAAUGAAUAAGACGUCAAGAUCCUCAAAAGUGAUGGCCAUCAUACUUGAGGGGUGUGAUUCAAAAAGAGCUCUAGCAACUCUUGGCUGGGAUGGCCACGAACCAAGCCCCACCUGCUGCUCCUAUUGCACCGGUUAAUCUCUCUAUUGUUGUUGACUUGCUUGUGUUUACUGCUGAGAUUACUAUUGCCAUUGCAGCUGCAACCAAAUGCUAAUGCUGAAGACCUAGCAAGAAGGGGAGUGCCUUAGAAUUUUUGGGACUUCGAUGAAUUUAUACUAGACCAGGCUAAGAGAAAGACUACUCUUGCCACCAAUGAAGCUGUGGGUGAUAUGAGUGUCUCGCUUGAAAAAAUACAAGAUAUGUUAGAAAUUAAAGGUUUGGACCCUACCUACGAUUUUGAAGAUAGGAGAAGACAAGCUACGUGCGAAGUUUAAAAUGCUCGAGAUGAACAAGUUCAACAGGACUGGAGACCUGAAGGUUUUUCUAAAGUAGUAUAUAACCAUCAUGAGAAUUACUCAACUAAGCAGGACCUAGAUUGUCAAGCUGUUUGUACUGUCACUUGAAGGACUCGUUGUCAACUAGUAACAUGGUCUGGAAAAAUCUGUCAAAGUUGAAUGCCAUGAUUUAUGUAAUUCUUUUGUCAAGCAGUAUGACUAUAAGACUCAUUUGGAAGUGCCAGUCAAGGAUCUCAAAUCCACCAAGCAGAAGCCGAAUGAGUCCUUCUUUGAUUACCUGACCAGAUAGAGGAGUAAGGCUGGAGUGAUGAAGAACAAGCCUUCUAAAAAGGCCAAGUUUGUAUGGUGGUCUGAAACGUUCUUCUAGGAUGGUUUGAAAGGUUGCAGAUGAUGAACCCUAAAAUCUUUAUGGAUCUAUACGAUAAUGGGCUACAGGUCGAGGAGAUAGAGAACGACAAAAGAAAUAGUGUGAGAACCAGCGGAAGGGCAAACUACCAGACUGGAGGGAGUAGGACCCUAGAUGUAAAUGCUGUGUAACAACCGAGGAAGUUCUCCAACUUUAAACAACCUCUCUAUAAGAUCUUUUAGAGAUUGAUAUAGAAUAGCAUGCUCCUAUCUACCGAAUCCUAACGUAUUCGGACACAAACCCAACACCUACUAUAAAUUCCACCAAGCACUCGGCCACCAUAUUGACAACUGCAUAUGGAUAAAACACGAAUUUUAGUACCUUAUCGAUGCUGGAAAGCUCAUUGAUCCUGACCAACCGAGCACCAAAAGGAACCCCUCACCAAACUACAAUAGCGCACCACCCCUAAACCAAAUGUCCAUAAUCCAUCAUGAUUUCAACGAAGAGGAGAUCAUGAAAUCUUUUAUAGAUCUACCUCAAACCGAGCCAGAAGCCAAACCAAAUAGUCUGUAAAGAACCUACACCGAGCUAGGGGCACCACUAUAUAUGGUGUUCUAACACUUAAAAAUAGAUUGGGAAGCUUAAGCCCCAAUCGCUAAAAGACAGUCCUAAGCCUCACAAUGGUCAGUAUUAUGAGUACCACCAAGCCUUCAGGCAUAUGGAGAACCAGUACUAUCAUCUUAAGCAUGAUCUUCAGGACUUAAUCGACUCUAAUGAAUAGGAGGUUGAGCAAUUUCCUUAGUAUGAGUGUGAAGACCUGCGUGGGCAGCCCUCGGGCAAUAUGACUUCAAGGUCUAAUAUCCAAGGCCACCCUUAGCCGAUAUUCAAAUCGAGAAUAUUAUGCUAAGUGGUUGGGGAUCAGAUGACGAUCAAGCCACUUAUGAGCCUUACCUCCUAGAGGUCUGAAAAGAAGAAAAAAUAAAGUCGAUCAUGGCUAUCGACAUCUGGUAUAACUUUAGGGAUGAGUAUGAAGUUUAAGAUGUCGAGGCCAAAGACAUCUAGGUCGAUAAUGAUUCCAAAACUGAGCUAGCGGGUAAGGGUAAAGAAGUUGGGUUAUAAAAGUUAAAGCAAGAGAAAUAAGCACUUGAAGAUGGGGAUGCUGUAUUGCUAGAAUGGUGAAAGAAGGAGAAAAAGACAGCCGACAUCUGGAAACUGUUGAUGCAUUCAUCGGACUAAGAAAAGGCUCUAAUUCAGGCCUUAUCUAGUAUAAGUGUUAGAACAAUAGCUACCCCUGAGGAGAUGAUCAAAACGGUAACUGACAAGACUACUAGAAUGAUCACCUUUUUAGAUGAAUACCUACCGCUUGAGGGAAGAGACCAAUAUAAUGCCCUCUAUAUAGCAACAAAAGUAAAAGGGAAAAGAACCCUAUAUAUGAUGGGAAGAAAAAGAUAUCAAUGCCAAUCGGGGAUGACGGGUUAGCUAUCAACGUGCUUCUUGCAUACUCUCUAAACUAGGGAUGAAUGCGAAUGACCUAAAACCACUAGACAUGGUCAUAAGGGCCUAUGACGAGACCAAAAGAGAUGUGGGAGGGACGUUUUCAGCACUGAUGAAAAUGGAUCCUAUUGAAUCCUAGGUAGAGUUUACCAUUCUAGACAUCCUAGUAACUUUUGCAUUGUUAUUGGAAAGGCUAUAGUUCCAUGCCCUAGGAGGAGUCUCUAACAUAGUACAUUAAAAGGUAAAACUCUCUCAUGAAGGCGAGAUUGUCAUUAUUAAUGCUGAAGGUGGUAAGAUUGUCUCAGCAAUCUAAGAAACCAUCAAAGAGGUGGAUGCCCCUAUUGGAUUCCAAGUGGUGGUUCUCUAUAAGGACUACAUGAAUCUUAAAGGAGCCAACAUGUUUAAGAGAAUGAACUUCAAGCUUCGAAUAGGGCUAGAGAAGAAUCAACAGGGUAUUGGAGAGCUACCAGACUCAAAGGUUAGAAGACUCAGCGAGAUUUGGAAUAUUCUGAAGAGGAAGACAAGAGCAAACCAAAGGGCAAGACUCUAAAAGACGUGUUUGUAUAGGAGUACAAGUCCUACUCUAGGGAGUCCGAACUUGUUAGUGUAGUUGGGACUGAGGUACUAGGGUUUGAGAUUUUCAAGAACCAAAUUAUUGAUAAGAUGAUUGAGCUGAGUAUCAAGAAAGUUUGAGAGAAGAUUACCACCUAGAUAGAAGAACUGAAGCUAGAAGAGUUCGCCGCUCAACCGAAAAAGAAAAUCCAAGAGGAACUAGCUGUUCUUAUAGAAAAUAAUAUAAUUGAUGUUUUUUUAUGAUGAUGAUAUAAUAUCAUUCGAUAUUUAUAAGGACGAUAUUUAUUUUCUCUUUAAGAUCAAUGAUAUAAAUAAUUUUUCUUACUUGUGUAAUAUUUUUCUAAUAGUAGUGUGCAUUUUGAUGACCAUAACAUGUGCAUGUUUAACAUCAAUUCCGUAUAAAUUGAUUCAUUUAAUGUAGGCACAGAUGUGAAUCCACGAAACAUUCUGAUAGCUUAUGAUAUAACUCUUGAAGAGAGGAGAGAAUUUGAGAAAAUAAUAGAAAAUAAAAAAGUUGUAUUUGCUUGGUCCUAUGACGAUAUUGCCAGGUCUAGAUAGAAAAAUUAUAGAGAACCAUAUCCCAACUUAUUCGCAUAUUAAGUUGGUCAAACAGAAAGUGAGAAGACUAAGGCUAAAAUGGGUAGAUAAGAUACAAGAAGAGGUUGUCAAGUAGGUUAUAGCUAAUUUCCUCGAUGCGGCUGACUACCUCGAGUGGUUGGCAAACAUUGUUCUGAUCUUGAAGAGUGAUGGUAAGGUCCAAGGUCCAAGGCAUGCCUAAGGACGACUUUACACUUCCCCACAUAGACUUAAUAAUCGACAGUGCCGCUUCAAACGCGAUGUAUUCCUUUACAAAUGUGUCGUAUAGGUAUAAUCAGAUCAUGAUGGCAGUAGUGGACAAGCUGAAGAUAUCUUUUAUCACCGAUUAGGGGACAUACUGCUACAAGGUUAUACCUUUUGGAAUAAAGAACACAUGGGAAACUUAUAAGAGAGCAGCCACAAUCUUGUUUCAUGACAUGAUACAUAAAGAGGUGGAGGUGUAUAUAUUAAUGGCAUAAUGGUAGAGUCUGAAACAAGGAAAGUGCACUUUUAAGCUCUUGAUAAGUUUUUAGGACGAGUGGAAAGGUAUAACCUGAGACCCAACCCGAAGAAGAGCAUAUUCGGAGUUACACCAGAGAAGCUGCUAGAGCACAUAGUGAGUCAGCGAAACAUAAAGAUCAACCUGGACAAGGUCAAGGCUAUUUAAGAGAUGCCACCACCGAUGAUCGAGAAAGAAGUCAAAGGUUUUCUAGGACGCUUGCAAUACAACAGCAGGUUCAUUUUCAAGCUCACAAUGGUCUGUGAUCCUAUCUUUAAGUUUUUAAGGAAACAUCAACCUAUUGUGUGGGAUGAACAUUGUCAAAAAGCUAUGNNNGCAUGUUGAUCCUAUACUUGGCCUUAGAGGAGGAAGCUAUAGAGGCAAUGGUAGUGCAGUGCAAACUUAAUGAUGUAGAGCAUGCAGUCUAUUAUCUCAGUAAGAAGUUGGUGCCUUAUGAGUUGAAGUAUAAUCUCAUGGAAAAGAUGUGCCUAGCCAUGAUAUAGGCUAUAAGAAAGUUGAGACAUUAUUUUUAGUCUUAUAAGGUCUAGAAAAAUUCAAAAAUAGACCAUUUGAAGUACUUAUUUGAAGCUCAAUCUCUUACAAAAAAGUUGUCUAGAUGGUUGGUACUCCUAACAGAAUUCGAUAUUGAGUACAUCACUAAGAAUGUAGUCAAAAGUAGGGUUGUAGUUGAGUUUGUAGCCUAAAAUACGAUCAAAGGAGACGACCAUUAGGAUAUGAAAUUUUCUGAUAAGAAUUUGAGGGCAAUUGAGAUCCAUGAGUUGAAGAUAUACUUUGAUUGAGCUGUGAACGCAAGAGGUGCAGGCUUAUGAGUGGCUCUGAUUACGCUAGAAGGAGAGAUACUAGCAAUGGCCAAGAUAUUGGACUUUAAAGUGAUCAUUAACAUGGCUGAGUAUAUAGCAUGUUUAUUUGGAUUAGAAGCGGCAGUGGUAGCAGGAGCUAAGCAUUUGAUGGUCUACAGGGACUCCAUGCUGGUAAUCUAACAAGCCCUCAAGGAACGAGAAGUAAAAGAAGAGAGGUUGAAGCUGUAUAUCAAUUAUCUUAAAACUUUAGUGUGCAACUUCUCCAAGUUUUCCUUUGUACACUUGCCGUGGGACGAGAAAAAGAUGGCGGAUGCACUAGCUACUCUGUCGUCUAUUUGGGUCAACUCCUUAUGGAUUUUGAUGAAGCCUUUGGUGAUCGUAAAAUCGGGUGCCCCUUGGUAUCAAGGGGAUCAAAUAAUACAAGUUCAGAUGGGACCGAAAGAGAAGCUAUGGUUCUAUGAUCUAAAGCAGUUCAUAGAAAGCAAGGAAUAUCCAGAGGAAGCGACUGCCGAGGAAAGAUACGUGUUAUAGAUUCAAGCUAGGAACUACAUCAGCCACGAGGGAGUCCUAUAUAGAAGAAUAAAGUUGGGUGUACAACUCUGAUAUGUGACUAAAAUAGAAGUUCAAGUAAUGAUGAAGAAAAUGCACAAAGGAGUAUGCGGGCCUCAUAUAAAGGGCAUAGUGUUAACUAGGAAGAUCAUGCGAUAAGGUUAUUACUGGUUAACAAUGGAGAAGGAUUGCAUAGCUAGUGAUGAAAUGCCGAGAAUGCCAGCUGUAGAGUGACUUAAGUCAUGUGUUUCCAACAUCGAUUGGGUAAACACCAUACUCUAUGGUUUAUAGGAUUGAAGUAAUUUUGCCGGUUGAGUUAGAGUUGAAGUCUUUAAGAGUUUUAUUGGGGCCUGGAAUACCGAAAUACUAAUGGAUUGCGUAAAGAUACCAGCAAUUGGCUUUGGUUGAUGAGGAAAGGAUGAAAGCCCUAUACCACAUGCAAUUGUAUCAAAAAAGGAUAGUCAGGGCAUUUAAUAAGAAAGUAAAGCCAGGAAAUAUUAGAGCUGGUGAUCCAGUAUUGAAGUAUACAAGGCCUAUUGCAUUCGACCCGAGAGGGAAGUUUAGGCUAAACUAGGAAGGGUCAUACUUAGUAAAGAAGAUUUUGCCUAGAGGUGUUGCUAAGAUCUCAAACCUAGAGAGGAACGAGUUCACUAAGCUAAUCAACAUAUAUUGUCUCAAGAAAUACUAUGUAUAAUAAAAAAAAUAGUAAGAAUAUAAGAAUAAUAGAAAAAUAGCCUGCUAAUAAGAAAACCUGAAAUGGCGGGUCAGCCAAAAGUUAGGGCAAAAGAGAGAAAAUAAUUAGCUAAAAAAUCUAAAAAGACUGGCUGAUGAUAGGAGUUAUAUCGUGAGAAAUCAAAAUGUAUCCAUUUGGACUUUUAUUAAAUGAAUAAAAUUGUUUAGAACUGUUAUCAAACAUAUAUAUAUCUAUUUAUCAUCUACGCANNNNNNNNNNNNNNNNNNNNNNNNNNNNNNNNNNNNNNNNNNNNNNNNNNNNNNNNNNNNNNNNNNNNNNNNNNNNNNNNNNNNNNNNNNNNNNNNNNNNNNNNNNNNNNNNNNNNNNNNNNNNNNNAGGUUUCGCUCUAUGUCUUGAUGGGGCCACUUAUCUAGAAAAUCAUGUCUGAGUGGGAAGCCUUUGAAUUCAAGUAGAGAUUCCAAGAUUCAUUCCUUUUGCCCGCAUUGGCGGCAAAGUCUCGAAGGAGUGUAUAAGGUGGAUACUUGUAUUUCAGAUAAGAGUACGCAAUCACCGUACACUAUGAGCCUGACAUGCUUAAUUCUCCACUAAGGGCAAGUUUAGCGAAUAAACGUGUCUGAAAUGUCUGUCAUCUAGGAAUCCAGCCAUCAUGACCUCGUGGGAUAACAAUAGAACGGGUUUGCACAGGCUUCAGCUCGUACUUAUCAAUAUCCCUCAGGAUGGUCAAUAAAUAGAGCUUCUCCGCAUCCAAAUAUGAAAAAGAGGUAAAUAAAAAAUGAAAAGAAAAGAAAAAAAAGAAAAAGCUAAGUUGAAAACUCGAAAGGGCGGCUUAGGCAAAAAUAAAAUCUGCUAAGUCGAAAACUCAAAAUGGCGGUUUAGAUAAAAGUUAAGACAAAAAAGCCUAUUAAGUUGAAAAUCCGAAAGAGCAGCUUAGGAAAAAAUUAAGGCAAAACAAUGAAAAAGUAAAAAAAAAAAAAGAGAUUUAGUAAUGUACCUAUAAAAAAUGAGGCUGACAUUAAACCAUUGAUAGGUUUUAUACAUUGUCUAACUUAAUGAUGGUUUCAGCCAAGAUGACUAGAACUAGAUCUGCUCCAUGCUCCACCUAAUCAAUAAUGCCAACAAUUCUGAUAUCUCCUUCUCCUUAAGGAGAAAUCAGCAGAAAUUGGGCAUAAAGCCAAAAGCCCAACAUCCGAAUCCAUGAAGGUGUGUCAUUCUCCUUCUCACAACAAGAGAUUAAUGAAGUAAGGAUAAUAUACUCGUCAACAGAAUAGGAAAGUGCCUCAACUGGGGGAUGUCGAAUAAAUCCACUAGUUUUUCAAGAAAGGGCUCAUUGAGUUUUGACAGGGUGAUAGGAUGUGUAGAAUCCUUGGGAAGACCAGUAGAAAAUUCCUUAAUCAUGGGGCACAACUCUAACCCACCGAAUCUAAAGACAUAGUCCCUUGGACGCUAGAAGUUGAUAGUAUAGUGGAGAAACCCAUAAUCAAGCUUGGUGUGUUGCACGGCCUUAAUAGAUGAAAGAUGGAAUUUCCUAAGUUUGAUCUAAUCAUUGCCCGUUAGAUUUCUAAAAAGAGUUUAUAGGCAUUUGGCAUUUUUCCAAGACAUAUUUUUUGACUUUUGAAAUAUAAAAUCAUGUAUGGGAAAGUAGGAGGGGCUCAUAGUUUAUAUAGGCCUUAAAUUAGUGUUCGAAUCGAACUCUACAACCGCAAAGCCGAUCAACACUACGUACAGCCAAUCGACUCAGCAUACAACCGAUCGACUAUAUGGCCUCCUAGGCCAUUUUUGUAGGUUUUUUGGGUGAUCACUUGAUUUUUAAUGCACAAAAGCUCUAUGCAAAAAUAAAGGAAAGGAGCAAAAAUAGAGGCAAUUCAAAAGCCAAAAUCAUAUUUUAUACCUUCAAAAGUCAGAAGUCUACAAAAAGUUUUAAGUUCUACAAGCAAUAAGAAGAAAGUACAAAGGAAGAAUCAGAAGCCGGGGUUCUCUCCCAAACCCUCAAUCUCGUCAUCAAAGUCAGUGUCCAUCCCUUGGGUCUGCAAUGCUGAUAGCUAAAGAGUUAGUGUGUCGAUCCAACAUUGCUGAGUGUCAAUCUGAUGCUGUCAGUCAUCUAGUUGCCCCUGCAAGCCCUCAUGGUCCCUCUAUUGAAAACUCAAAAGGAUAUUAGUUAGUGCAUUGCAUACAUGCAUACAUACAUAUUGCAUAAGUCAUUUUUUUACCCAUUAGUCCUCACUAAGGAUAAAGAAUUGCCCUCUUGCAGUACCAACCAGUUGAUGUACGUGCUUCAACUAAUCCCUAUGAAGUUGUAUUUGCAUAAAUAUGUCACUAACCUUUCAAGAAAACAAAGAGGUGAAAACACAGAAGAGAAGAGUAACUUACAUGAAUGCAAGUACUCAAAUGAACUCUAGAGGGAGGCACUACUUCAUGGCAAGCCGAUGCUCCAUCACAUCAUUUGGGUUCCAGUAUAAAACCAUCGGAUCAAGAGGGAAUAAAAAAAUCCCUGGUACCACAUCAGACAUGGCCAUGUGAGGUGCCUCAGAGGCUACACCGGUAGAAGAGCCUGCGAUAUGGGAUGGCUUGGAGCAUCGAGAGGACUGUCCCUGAGUCGGUUUACGAGCACCAAGAGCCUAGUGGAUGAGCUGUAAAUAACUGAUUAAGAAAGUAGCACACAGUAAAAAGGGAAUUCUAACUAAAUUCAAGAAACUACUUGAGCUACAACAUCAUCGCCAUGAGGCACGGCCCCCAAUAACUGAGGGAUGAAUGAGGUAUAGUCCGUCCGUUGGGAUCAGAUGGUAAGGUCUUCAGACUCGUCAUACCCCGUCAAGCACUCUACUAAUUUCUCCCCAGCAAGAUAUGAUGUCCAAAACAUGGAAAGAGGAUGGGGAUAAUGGGACUUGACGCCUGCUGGAGCCUCAUUCUUAGCUAUAGAUCCUCUCUCCUAAGUACCAAGCCCGAUAGGCAGGUUCGGUCAGUAGGAUCUUCCUCUGCUCAAGGUCAGUUGUAGACAACAUAUAAAUAAAGCAUGAAUAUAACUAACAAAUUAUAUUUACCCUAUCCCAAGUCAAGCUGUUGAUCCACAUGCAGUGCACGUGAACCUUAGACCACUUUAGAGUAACGGUCCUGAUCGAACCCCAACAAUUAAGCAAGGAAAAGCCCAUGAGGUGCAGAUGGAUGAUGAGUCCACCAGAAGUCUAAUCUCUAGGGCCCAAACCUGCAGAGUAAAGAGUUGGAUCGCAUGCUAAAAACUGCAUUCACUAUUUUUAUAUAAGAAACUAAAGAAAAAGAAGUCAGUGCCUAAUUUACGUGGAUCGCAUGCUAAGAACUACAGAUCCUAUUGUUGCCUCGGACGGUAAUGUUCAUCUGAUGAUACAAAUAUAAGAGAGCUGCAGAUCCUAAUUGUAAGAAGAGACCGGGUCCAAAUCCCGUAGUGGUGCUAGAUAGUGGAAGUUUAGUGAGUUCCCCGAGUCAUUGAAUAAUGUUGUACCGAAGAGGUAUACCAAAAAUACUUGGGCCAUCUAGUCAACCUCCCAAACAUUCUAAGGAACGAAGCCCCGAUAGUGGAAGGGGAUGCGCUGAUAAGCGAUGCAUCGUGAUUUCUUGUACGUCGGUAAGAACGUGAGUAAGUCAGCUCGGAUGUCGGAACACUGAUUAUGGAUCACAUCAUCGAAUGGCACAUGAGUGCUAGAAAAGUCGAUAUUAGUGAUAGUAUAAAAAGAAAGAGGAGAGAGAGUCAACUCACUAACCAGAUUGUGGAAGGUAUGGGCCGCGUCCAUCCAUCUCUCGAGCAAGGCAUAGAUANNNNNNNNNNNNNNNNNNNNNNNNNNNNNNNNNNNNNNNNNNNNNNNNNNNNNNNNNNNNNNNNNNNNNNNNNNNNNNNNNNNNNNNNNNNNNNNNNNNNNNNNNNNNNNNNNNNNNNNNNNNNNNNNNNNNNNNNNNNNNNNNNNNNNNNNNNNNNNNNNNNNNNNNNNNNNNNNNNNNNNNNNNNNNNNNNNNNNNNNNNNNNNNNNNNNNNNNNNNNNNNNNNNNNNNNNNNNNNNNNNNNNNNNNNNNNNNNNNNNNNNNNNNNNNNNNNNNNNNNNNNNNNNNNNNNNNNNNNNNNNNNNNNNNNNNNNNNNNNNNNNNNNNNNNNNNNNNNNNNNNNNNNNNNNNNNNNNNNNNNNNNNNNNNNNNNNNNNNNNNNNNNNNNNNNNNNNNNNNNNNNNNNNNNNNNNNNNNNNNNNNNNNNNNNNNNNNNNNNNNNNNNNNNNNNNNNNNNNNNNNNNNNNNNNNNNNNNNNNNNNNNNNNNNNNNNNNNNNNNNNNNNNNNNNNNNNNNNNNNNNNNNNNNNNNNNNNNNNNNNNNNNNNNNNNNNNNNNNNNNNNNNNNNNNNNNNNNNNNNNNNNNNNNNNNNNNNNNNNNNNNNNNNNNNNNNNNNNNNNNNNNNNNNNNNNNNNNNNNNNNNNNNNNNNNNNNNNNNNNNNNNNNNNNNNNNNNNNNNNNNNNNNNNNNNNNNNNNNNNNNNNNNNNNNNNNNNNNNNNNNNNNNNNNNNNNNNNNNNNNNNNNNNNNNNNNNNNNNNNNNNNNNNNNNNNNNNNNNNNNNNNNNNNNNNNNNNNNNNNNNNNNNNNNNNNNNNNNNNNNNNNNNNNNNNNNNNNNNNNNNNNNNNNNNNNNNNNNNNNNNNNNNNNNNNNNNNNNNNNNNNNNNNNNNNNNNNNNNNNNNNNNNNNNNNNNNNNNNNNNNNNNNNNNNNNNNNNNNNNNNNNNNNNNNNNNNNNNNNNNNNNNNNNNNNNNNNNNNNNNNNNNNNNNNNNNNNNNNNNNNNNNNNNNNNNNNNNNNNNNNNNNNNNNNNNNNNNNNNNNNNNNNNNNNNNNNNNNNNNNNNNNNNNNNNNNNNNNNNNNNNNNNNNNNNNNNNNNNNNNNNNNNNNNNNNNNNNNNNNNNNNNNNNNNNNNNNNNNNNNNNNNNNNNNNNNNNNNNNNNNNNNNNNNNNNNNNNNNNNNNNNNNNNNNNNNNNNNNAAGCCAACCCAAGUGGGCGUGGCACUCGCAUCAAAUCAAUGAUCAAAGUUUAAGCUUACGGGGUGUGGCUUUUACAACUAAUAUAAUAUCCUUUUGCUAUAUCCUUGAUAUAUAUGAUUUGUCUCAAUUUAUUUAAUGCAUUGCGUGCUUAUAAAUCUUGACAAAUCAGGGGCAGCUGUUAGCAUUCCUUUUUUGGAUCUAGAUAUCGAGAGAAAUACAAAUAACCCUAUAAUGAAAGUUACCGCCUUCUUGGGUCUCGGAAGAUAAGGACAGGCGAAUCCGAGGUUAGGAUUGAGGUUAUCUAAUUGGAAUUACUUUUUUAAAAUCAAUUUAGACUCAAUUAUCAAUAAAAAUAAAGUUUGAGAGUUAAAACAGCAGUUUUCACAAAUUCAGGGACUUAAUUGCAAGUUUUUUUAACUUUUCUUGUGUAGAGCUAUUCGGCUCUACAUUGUGCUGAUUAGGUUUUUUUGCACUUCGAUGUCAUUUCUCUCGAUGAUUUCACAUCCAAACACAGAUUCUAGAAGAUUUUUAAUGAUAAUCAUGAAUUCUUAAUGAUAAUUAUUUAAACUUAAAGAAUUAAAUUUGGAUAUUUAUGAAUUUUAUUUUUUAAAAUAAUUAAAAUUAUCAUUUUUCAUAGGAUUUUCUUUGAAAUUCUACCUCUAUAAAUAGAAAGAGGUGAUUGGAAUUAGGGUUAACAAGUAAUAACAGGUAAUAAUGAGAGAUAACAAAAGACAAAAAAGAACAAUAACUAGAAACAAAGAGAAAAAGCUAGAGAGAAAGAGAUAAAAAAGAUUAUCGUUCUUAUUUGGGUAGAGAAUUCAAGUCACUAAGAAAGAAGCCACUCAAGAAAGAACUGUUUUUGGAAACUUAUUUUUAAAUCGACAUAAAUUUUCUCAACGCCAGAUCCAGUACCGGACUCCCAACCAGUCUUUGACUCUAUUGCCUCAUCAUCAUUUGAGACACACAAAACCAUCAACUACGGUGACAACCUAAAGGCUUUACCAAACAUGCAUUCAUCAUCAUAUUAAAAUCAUGUUUUUGUCCUUUUAAUUUUCUUUUUUUAUUAUUUAUUGUUAGAAACAUGAUUAGGAUUACUGUUGUUAUUUAUGAUUAGUAUUAUUAGUUUGGGUUUCUUGUGAAUCUGCGUAUUAAUUGGAUUUUGAAUAUGAUAAUAAGAACUCUAGAGUUUUGAAUUUGAUAAUUUUACCAAUUANNNGUACUUUUAGUUCUAGGUUUCUGUCAGUUUAGGAUUUUGAUGUCGAUGAUCCUAUUGUUUGAUUUUAUUUUCAUUUUAUUUCUUUCAUAUCUAAUUAAUUUUACUCUUUAUGCAUGUGAAAUAUGACUUUGAGAAUGUAAGAUGCACUGAUGAAUCGAUAGAAAACUCAUUGGAACCCUAGAGCCGAUUGGUUAUGCAUUCUUCAGUCCUAGAUUUUUUUGGCUUUGGACUAUUUUGAUGUAUUUUAAUGUACUGUAUUAGAUUUUUAGGUAUUUUUUCUUUACAACUUUAGUUAUAGGCCGAGUUUUAAUAAUUAAAUUUAUUUUCUGCCUUUAUUUUAUUUAUUUUACUUACUGUAUGAUUAUAAAAUAUGUGAUUAUGUAAUUGAUUAAUUAAAAUUGGCCACAUAGAUUUAGGGUUAAAACUGGAUCCAAUAUGAAUAUUGUAAUCCAAUAGGCUAAUCAACAUUAAGUGGACCUAAACCUAAAACUGAAGUAGAUUCAGUGGGCCUUAGCAUGUUUUAAUAAGGAUUGGACUUCAGUAGAAUUAGGAUUAUAAUGAACGGGUGUUAUCAUAAUAAAUAGUCCAUUAAGUCUAAAGGUUGAAAAUCAAAAGCAUAAGAUGUAAUUAAGCUAUAUUAGGCAAGCUAUAUAUACAUAAUUAACUAGUAAUUUAGGCUAACAACUCCAAUAUGGGCUGGGCUUGAAUAAAACGGGCUAGACCAUGGUGAAUUAUGUGUGUUAUUUGGUAUAACUGUGUAUAGAUUACUUGCAUUUAUAGAAAAUAAUUUAUUAGAUAAUAAAAUUAAAAACUAAUAUACACAAAUAAGGAAGUUGGCUUCCGAAUCAAUCUUUGGAUUUUGUGGCAUAAGCUUCCUUAUGGAAUAUGAGAAGCGUCUUUCAUUAGUAAAAGUGUCUCGGUGACUACUCGAUGGUGACUCCCAUCUCCGCUCUAGUCUCAGUGACUAGUUAGCGGAUUCCCAAUUAAGUAAAAAAGUCUUACAGUGCCAUAGUCGCUAAAAACACUUAAAUAAACGCCUAAGAUUAUUGCCCAGACACGCUAUUAUAAAUUUAUAUUUAUAAAAUUUUACUUAAAAGAAAAUUACCAUCACAAAGAGACAAUGAAAAAUCUUAAAACCAAGAAUCUAGCAUCAGAACUAGCUGGAUUGGUGAAGAAUGGACUUGACUGGUCCAAAAAUUGAAGCCUUGAAAAUGUGAUUAUAUGGCAUGGGACACAAUUUGUUCAGUUUUGACUUACUAAUGUCAUGGGCAGUUUAGGAUAAUCGUUGUCUAUCAUAUGGACAUAACAAAAAUAUUGAAGAAAAAAAGAUAAGAACGGAUGAUUGGAGGCGGCUACCAGAAGGUCGAAGGAUCAAUCUAUAGGAUAGAUUCAAACAGUCAUGCUUUUAUUGUCAGAUAUUAUGGGAAAGAAAGAUUAAACACAGAUAGGAGCCGGGGAUAGGGACAGGGAUAGGGAUAGGGAUAGGGUUAUCCUUAGUUUCUCCUCGGGACUCCAAACACAACCUCUUCUAACUGUUUCUUUCAUCAGCUUCGUGACUAAUUCCUCCAAAAAAGAGGAAAAAAAGAAAAGAAAAAACUACAAACUUUUCAAGUUUAUCGGACGGAUUUAUUUUUUUUUCCUUUUGCUUUUUUACUAUCACAGACUUAUUUGGAAUUAUCAUUAUUUUAAGAAUUAAAUUUAAAUUGUUAUAAAUUUUUGUAUAGAUUUAUAUUACUGGGUUUACUUUAAAAGAUAAUUUUUAUUUUCUUCAAAUAUUACUUUUCAUAAUUAAGAAAACAAAACGAAACAAUUUAGAUAAACAGAUUUGGCAACCUACAUUCAAAUAGAGCUUUAACCAGCAUAUUUUCAAACAGAGCUUUAAUUAGAUAUCUUGUAAAUUAAUAAUUAAUAAAACUAGUAAGUUUUAAAAUUCAAAUCUCAUCCAACUUAAAACAGAUAUAUUACAAAAUAAAAUUUUAACUCUUUUUGUAUUAUUAUUUGUAAAAAAAAAAAAAGUGUUUACACCAGCUUAUAUAUAAAAAUUGAACCACAAAAAACUUUCUGAUAUAUAUAUUAAUAGUUUUAAUAUAUAGAUAUGACAAUAAUAAAUUUUUCUCAAAAAGUAAUAAUUUAUAACUUUAUUAUUUAUUAUACAAUUAUAACUAAAUCGUUUUGCUAAUUAACUAAUGAUUUUAGAUCAACCAAAUAGAAGUUUAAUUUAUUUUUCGAAUUAUAUUUAACUAAUGUAUCUAGUUUUUUUAGUUAUACGAUGACUUUUAACUAAAAUUAGUAUAAUAAUUAUAUUAUAAAAUAAAUUUUUAAAGUAAUUAAUAAUAUUUUUAAUGUAAUUUUUAUAUUUAUUGUAUUACAGAAAUUUAAAAUAUUAAAAAAAUAUAUGUAAUAUUAGGUCAAAUGCAUACAUAUAUCAAUUUAAUUUAAUAGGCAUUUAAAAUCUAAAUUUCUUUAAUUUUAAAUACUUUUAGCUUUUGAUCUAAUUUAUUAUAUAUUUAAAUUUCACUUUUUGAUCAUAUUUAGAUAAUUACAUACUAUACAUCGUAGAUGUAUUAAAUAAAGGUAUAUAUAAAAUUUAUUAAGAAAUUAUAAAAUAUGUUUAGAUGUUAGUAAAUUAUAUUAAAAAUUAAAAUAUUAAACUGAUUAAAUUAUCAAAGCUUAGAGACAUAAAUAUCUUUAGCUGAAAUUUUAUUAAUUUUUAAUAAUUUAUUUUAAUUGAUAAUUAUAAUAAAAUAAUAAUAACAAGUAGAAAAUGAAAUAAAAGUUAGUCUUGUUAAAAUCUCCUACAUUUAAUCCGAGUCUUUCUAUCAAGAUUUCUAAACUGCAAGAUGUCUGCUAUUGUGUUGUAUAUUCGCAAUUAAUGAUGGUUUUGGUCUGUUAUUGUGUUGUAUGUUCACAAUUGAUGACACUUUUGGUAUUUUAUCUGUCUAUUAUUGUGUUGUAUGUUCACAAUUUAUAAUAGUUUUGGUCUUUUAUUGGUAAUAAUAGUGACUAAAGUUGGGACAAGACGAAGCUCUUCAGGUGUUUAAUUUUUGUAAAUCAACAAAUGUAUUCUGCUAAAAUUAAAAAUAAUAGAAAAUCUUGAUUUUACUUUUGGUAAAUGAUUAAUGAAAUAAUGGAAGGGACAAAAGUCUAUUCUCUUCUAUUUACUAAGAAAAUUCCCAAAAGGAAAAGAGAUAAGAGUUGAACUGUAUUUUAGGACUUUUUUCUUUUCCCUUUUAGUUACAAAAAGAAACAAAAUAACAAUUUUUAACACAAAGAGAAAGCAGAAAACCGCAAGGGGAUAAGCAUGAAAUUAUUGAUCUUAUUAAAAAACUCUUAGAUAACUUGUUACUUAAGAAAAUUAAUUUUGUAAUGUAAAUAUAUAAUGAAGUAUUAAAAAUUUAUACUACUAAAAUAAUAUAAUAUUAAAUAUAUUUAUAAAUAAUACAUUUCCUUCUUAAAAUUUAAAUUAUAAACUAAUAAGGCAAAAUAUUUAGCCUUCCACGUGUCUUACAGUUAUAAUAGCCAUGUGAAGACAUGCAUGACAGUUACGUGAACCUCUUCCUCUCCUUCUUGGGUAGACAUCUUACGUUGGAGUCAUGCACCGCUUUCUGUCCAUGCAAAAAUCAAUUAAAUAAUAUUAGCUCUUCACCAUAUUGUAUUUUAAAUUUCUGUUCUUUAUGUUAUAUGAUCGAGUAAUCUUAUACUUAAUUUUUAUUUAUGUAAUAACAAUAUAUUCUAUAUAUUUAUUAAAUUAUUUAUUAGUAUUUCUAGAUUAAAGUAAAAUUCUAUAAAAAUAUUAUCUACCAUAUCAUAUGAAUAAUAAUAUUAGAAUAAAUAUUAAUAAAACAUUUAACAUUUUCCUAUAUUGUCGGUUAAAAUAUUGUUUCUUGAAAUUUGUGUGUAUUAUUUUACCCGCAUAUUACUCGAUCAUAUACAUUUCAGAAGAACUCAAUAAAACUUUAACUUUUCUUUUUAAUGCUAACUUUUCGUACGGUUUCAUCUCAUUACUGAAUUGAAGCAUAGGUUGUAAUGUAUAUUUAUUUUUAAAUAUUAUCUUAUAAUUUUGGUUUUGCGAAUAAUUGUUUUUCUUUUUAAAACCAAUUAUAAACUUAAUAGAUAUUAAACAUAAACCAACCAAAACCAGCAGAAAUCAAAACAAAGUUAAUUUCUUAAAGACGUAGCGUAUUUUUAGAAACUCAAAAUUAAUAACAUAUAUUUUUUGUUAUUUUCUAAAUUUUAUAUAUUUUUGUAAAAAGAUGGCUAACAUAGCAUUAUAAACAUGAGUCAUCUUACUAGUGCAUAAUAUUUAUUUUUUAAAACUUUAUUUGACUUUUUAAUUGUAUAUAAUUUUCCUAUAUUUUUUGGAUAAUAAAAUAGUUUUGUUACAAACUAAUUAGUUAUAAAACUCAAAAAUUUAUAUUUAAUUAAUACUUUUAUUAAAUUUUAAAUUGUAAAAAUAAUUUUAUUUAUUACUAAAUAUUAUUUAUUUAUUUAUUUAUAAGUAUAUUAAUUAUUAUCUCCUUCAUUUCAUACUAAUUAACCUUUUUUAGUAUUUUAUUUAGAUUAAGAAAAUAUUUAAUAAAUUUAAUUAUAAAGAACAAAUAGCUAAUUGAGACUAAGUGACUUUUCCAUAGAUAGUAAUGUGUGUAUUAUAUUUAAUAAAUGUCAAGUGUACAUUUGAUGAUGAACUAGUAGUUUAUAGAUAAUGAAUAUAAUAUGUUUAACCUAUAAAUAUUGAUUUGUUUUAUGCACAAACAAUAUAUUCAUUACUAAUAGAUUAUGUAUCUAUCUAUUAUUAGUGUCAAGUUCAUUAAAUAUAAAUUUUAAAUUCAUCAUCUAUAAAGUGUAUAUUCAUACUAAUUAACUUUAAUAUUUUAUUUAGAUUAAGAAAGUAUUUAAUAAGUUUUAUUAUAGGAAGCACAUAGCUAAAAUGAGACUAAAUAAUUCUUCUAUAGAUAUUAAUGUGUGUAUUAUAUUAAAUGAACCUCAAAUGUACAUUUAAUGAACUUGCAGUUUAUAGAUAAUGAAUAUGUUAUUUUUAUAACCUAUGAAUAGUGACUUAUUUUAUGUAUAGACAUUAUACUCAUUACUUAUAAAAUGUAUAUUCAUUUAUUAUUAGUAUUAAGUUCAUUCAACACGAACUUUAGAUUCUUCACUUGUAAAUCGUAUAUCCAUAUUAAUUAACAUUUUUUAAUAUGUUAUUUAGAUUAAAAAAGUAUUUAAUAAGCUUAAUUAUAAAAAAUAAAUAGCUAAUUGAGACUAGACUAUUAUAUAGAUAUUAAUGUGUGUACUAUAUUAAAUGAACCUCAAGUGUACAUUUGAAGAACUUGUAAUUUAUAGAUAAUAAACAUUCUAUAUUUUAACCUAUGAAUACUGAUUUGUUUUAUGUACAGACGGUAUAUUCAUUAUUUAUAAAGUGUAUGCUCAUUUGUUAUUAGUAUCAAAUGCAUCAAAUAUGAACUAGAUUCAUCACUUAUAAAAUAUACAUUCAUUUAUUAUUAGCAUCAUAUUUAUUAAAUAUAUAUUUUAAGUUCAUUACUUGUAAAUUAUAUAUACAUAUGUUACUAGUAUAAGGUUCAUUAAAUAUAAAAUAUAUAUUCAUUAACUUUUAUUUAUGAAUCUAUCCUUAACAUAUGAAUUUGUUAUUUAUUACUUAUAAAGUGUAUAUUCAUUUAUUAUCACUAUCAGGUUCAUUAAACAUAAACUUUAGAUUCAUUACUUAUAAAUUAUAUAUUAAUAUAUUAUUAAUGCAAGAUUUAUUAAACAUAUUAGGUUCAUUAUUGAUAAAUUAUAAAUUUAUUUAUUAGAUUCAUUAAAUAUGAAAAGUAUAUUCAUUAAUUUUUACUCGUGAACUUGUUCUUAACAUAUGAAUCUUUUUUUAAUUUAUAAUUUUUUAAGCUGUAAUUUAUGAACUUCGGUCAUACGUGUGAUGAAUCUACGAUUUACAACACACGAACCUUGAAAUCAUUUUAUAAAUUUAAAUUAUAUAAUAAUAAUGUUUGGAGAAAAAAUGUUAAAAUUAUUAUUAUUCUUUUGAAAACAUAAAAUUACUUUUUAUUAUAUUUACUCUUCAUUAUGUUAAUAAAACUUAUAUUAUUUUAAUAUAUAGUAUAAUUUUUGUAAAAGUAUUAACAUAUUCCUAAAAAUAAUUUUAGUAAUAUAGUAAAAAAGAAAUAUAAAAUAUAUUAAAUUAUAAAAAUUAUAAUAAAGAAUAUAAUAUUUUUUUAAAUAAUAACAUAAUAUAAAAUUAAGAGAUGAGACAUGAUAAAAUAAUAUUUAUGGUAUAUUGAUUUAUCUAUUUUGUAAUAAAUCUAAAUUUAUAUUAUUAAUUUAUUUUUAUUUUCUUAGUUUAUUAACUAUUUAAGGAUAUAAAAUGUCAAUUAAUAUCUAAUUAAAUAAAUCCUAAUUUUAUAAUUUAUUAAAACACACACUCUGAUUUUAUUUCUAACAAGACAAGUAUGUUUGACCUUAAAUAUAUAAAAUUUAAUGUUUCUGUGCAUGAUAUAACAAUCUUUCAAAGGAUGCAUCAUUGAGUUCUAGACACCGGACCCACUGUACUUACUAGUAUUUCAUGAGUCUGUGAUAUAGCAAAAAUAUAAUAAAAGGAAACUUUCUUAUAAGUCUAUUGAUUCAAAACAUACAUAAAUAAACAAUCUUUUAAUAACUUGUUGACUAUGAUUUAAUGAUUUGUCUUGUUUCUCUGAUAAGUUUUAGACUGUCUCGUUAUUUGUGAUGAGGUUUUUCACUUGUAUUUUUCUUUGCUUUCAUAUUUUACCAUAGCGCUAUUAUAUGGUAACACUACUAAAAUGGAGUUAUAUGGAAGAUUUCGCUGGCGGAUGAGAAAGAAUAAGGAUUGAUUCUUGAUGAAGCUGAUCUGGUUUCUAUUCAAGCAAAUCACUCCAUGGUCAGCUAAAAAUAUCCAUGGAGAAUAGCUUUUCUGCCUAUGGUGCCAGCUGCUUCAUGAGCACUAUAGAUCCUUUCAUGGAUUGCUCUAAGGACAAAUUGCCUUUCCUUCAAGAUACAUGUAUACCAAGGAUAAGAUAUUGAUUUCCUGUACAGGAUACCCUCUUGAAAAGAGUACAUGGUCAAGGUCUUUACAACUUUAAUUGCAGCAUUCUUGUUCUCUUGUAACUUUCCUUCUUCGAGGUACUAGAUGAUCUCCUUCAUCCGAGGGUCAUAUUCUUCAAUGACCAAAUACCUCUUCUUUUGCUAUAGUCGACUUUUCAUAUAUGUUGAAUGGGACAUCAUUGCUCGACUCACUUUGUGAGGCGAGUUUGGCUAAGUAGUCUGCUUCUUUGUUCUCAUCUCGUAGGACUUGGAUGAUGCUCCAUUAGCCCUCUUAACAUUAGAUGCUUUGUCAACAUGCAAGGCCCAUUUAAUAAGAGCUUCAUCGACUUUUUAUGCACUUUUUGGCUUGCUCAUUCUCUACCAAAAAGUCGGCUAAUAUUUGCACUUUCAUAGCUUUUCUAGGCUCAUAUCAAACAUGAAAAGCCCCCACCUGAACUGACCAAUGACAAGUCACCCAGAUGUUUCUAGCCUCUAUAGUGCCUUCCUUAGUGGUUGAUUUAUUCUAACUAUCACUAUUGUGCUUCAAAAUACUAUCUGAGCUUAGUAAUUAUGGUGAUUAUAACUAGGGCUAAUUUCUCUAUUAUGGGGUACCGAGUUUCUACUCUUUCUAAAAUCUUACUCGUAUAAUAGAUAGACUUUUGUUCGCUAUCAUCCUCCUUGACUAGUAUAGAGGCAAUGGUUUCCUUAGUCACCACCAUAUACAAUUACAAGCUUUCCUCACUCAAAGGUCUGCUGAGUAAGGAUGGCAAGCUCAAGAACUUCUUUGUUUCUUCAAAAGCCUUCUGACAUUCAAAAUUCUUAACAUUCUUUAGAGUUUUGAAGAAAGGUAGGCAUCUUUUAGCCGAGCAGCGAAUGAACCGACCAAGAGCUAUUAUUCGGCCAUUUAACUUGUGUACUUCGCUGAUGCUACUUGGUGGGUCUCAUUUCUAUGAUUGCCUUAAUUCUAUCGAAGUUAGCCAAUAUCCCUCUUUGUAAGAUACAUGAAUCCUAAGAAUUUUUCAGCUUUGACGCUAAAAGCACACUUGUCAAGGUUUAAUUUGAGCUGGUAUUUCUCUAAGAUGUUAAAUGAUUCUUUUAGAUCUCUAGAUAAUCCUCGGCCCUAGCCGACUUGAUGAUCAUAUCGUCCACAUAUACCUCUAUAGUUUUGCCUAUCUGAUCUUUGAAUAUAGUGUUUACCAAUCUUUAGUAUGUGCUCUAGUGUUAUUUAGACCAAAAGGCAUUAUUGUGUAACAAAAGGUAAUUAUAUUCGUGAAAAAAGAAGUCUUCUCUUCGUUAGACUUAUACAUCUUGAUUUGAUGAUACCUUUGAGCAGUAAUGAUGGUGAUGAUAACUAAGGCUAAUUUCUCUACUAUGGGGUACCGAGUUUCUACUCCUUUCAAAACCUUACUAGUAUAAUAGAUAGGCUUUUGUUCGCCAUCAUCCUCCUUGACUAGUAUAGAGGCGAUGGUUUCCUUAGUCACCGCCAGAUACAAUUACAAGCUUUCCUCACUCAAAGGUCUAUUGAGUAAGGAUGGUGAGCUCAUAAACUUCUUUAUCUCUUCAAAAGCCUUCUGACAUUCAAAAUUCUUAACAUUCUUCAGAGUUUUGAAGAAAGGUAGGCAUCUUUUAGCCGAGCAGGGAAUGAACCGACUUAGAGCUAUUAUUCAACCAUUUAACUUAUGUACUUCAUUGUCCUAAGAAUUUUUCAGCUUUGACACUAAAAACACACUUGUCAAGGUUUAAUUUGAGCUGGUAUUUCUCUAAGAUGUUGAAUGAUUCUUUUCGAUCUCUAAAUAAUCCUCGGUUCUAGCCGACUUGAUGAUCAUAUCGUCCACAUAUACCUCUAUAUUCUUGCCUAUCUGAUCUUUGAACAUAGUGUUUAAUAAUCUUUAGUAUGUACUCUAGUGUUCUUUAGACCAAAAGGCAUUACUGUGUAACAAAAGGUAAUUCUAUUCGUGAAAAAAAGUCUUCUCUUUAUUAGACUUAUACAUCUUAUACCUUUGAGGAGCGUCAAUAAAGCUAUAUACUUUAUAGCCACUUGUUGAAUCCACUAUCUGAUAAAUAUUAGGGAGAGGAUAACCAUCCUUCAGGUUAGCCUUAUUUAGAUAUGUAAAAUCAACACACAUCCUCUAUCUCCUAUUUGGCUUCUUAACCAAAACCAAAUUUGCUUUCCAGUCAAGAUACAUUAUCGGCCUGAUGAACCCGACUUUCAGCAACUUGUUGACCUCCUCUACUGUGGCGAUUUACCUUUCAGGAGCAAAACUUCUCUUCUGCUAUUUAACCGGCUUGAAGCCUGGAUUGACAUUUAAUUGAUGGGAGAUUAUAUUCAAAUCAACCUUAACUAUCUUAGAAAAUGAGCUAGCGAACAUUUGCUUUUUCUCAAUAAGCACCUGUUCUAUGCUCUCAAUCAUUUGACCGGAUAACUCAGUGUUGAUCUGAACUAUUUCUCUGGAUCUAUGCCUACAGAGAACUUUCUUAACUCUCCCAUCGACUCUACUUUAGUUAGACCUUCCACCAGUGGAUGCAUUAAAGUUUCUAUAAGGUGUGUUUGGCAUGUCCUUUUUAGCGCAGUAAGAUAGCACUUCCUCGCCAUCUUCUGAUUACCGAGCACAGUAAUGACCCCUCUAGAAGUCAGAAUUUUCAUCUUCAAAUAGUUACUACUUGUGGUUGCCUUUGUUUCCAUCAGCAUAGGCCGUCCGAAGGCUAUAUUGUAUGCAAACAAAAUAUCAAUUACGGAGAAGGAAGUUCGCCACUUUUUGGUCAAACCUUUUAUUCUAUCCACUUUCCUGGUUUCUUCUCUGAGCUCUACCAUUAGCUCGGCUAUUCUUAAAAAGCUGCAUUGGCUAGCUAUCUAAACCAAGCAAUGGAAUCGUGCAUGGCUUUAGAUGCAUCACUCCCCACCAAUGGCUUUGUAGCACUAUAGACUCGUGAUGUUAAUUGCACUUCCAUGAUCCACAAAUAACCUCCUUACCUAAUAGUUCUCAAUAAAUCCUGAGACUAUUAAGGCAAUUUGGUCAGGCAUUUCAAUUCAUUCUUCAUUAUUUUCUAAGAAAACUAUAUCUAGGAGCUUUUCCUUCUCGGCCAUCAUAACUCGGCUUUUCCUCUUAGCUACAAACAUAGCUCCUUCAUAGAUUACAUUAUUAUCGCCCUUUUUAGAUCUCUCUUUCUUGUGGAUCCCUCCUGAUCUCAAUCUCUUAAUCAUCUGGAAUCCCUAGAACUCCUAUUCUUGUCUGAAUGACCCUUUUUUCCAACAAGAAAUCUCUUGAGAUGUCAUUUCUCAAUCAGUCAAUCAAUAUCUCUUUUAAAGUGUAUACAAUCUUCAGUAUCAUGGCUAUGAUUGUUGUGGAACUUACAAAACUUAUUUUUGUUCUUGGUAUCUACAGUUUGCUCUCUUAUAGGGUUUGGAUACCUGAUAUCACCUUUAUUCUUCUAGAUUUACAUCAAGAUGUUGGUCUUUGAUGUGUUCAGAGGAGCAAAGUCUUUCUCAUUACUAUUUCUAGAAUCAUUCCUCCUCCUAUCAUCCUUAUACCUUUGCUUGAUUGGUCAGAUUUCCAUUUUGAUCGAUUAUCAUAGUCUCCUUCCAACUCAGUAAUCUUCGUUUAAUCUNNNUCGAUUAUCAUAGUCUCUCCACUCAGUAAUCUCGUUUAUCUGAUGAAGCUGUGAGCUCGGUCCAUAAGCUCGGCAUAUGACUCUAGCGGGUCAAUGGUUAGCGAAUCUUUGAACUUGUUCAUGCAGUUAUUGUCAGUUAUUGCAUCUAUGGCUGUAUCUUGGUUAAUGUUAUCUACUUAGACAGCUUCUUUAUUGAAUCUCUCUAAAAAAAAUAUAGGCUUUUACCACGCCUCUGAAUACACUUCUUUAAAUCGUUGAGCCUUUGUUUCAGAGGUAUACUGGUGAUGAACUAAGCUUUGAACAGUUCAACAAGUGUAGCAAAGUUGUAUAUCGAGCCCUCUGGCAAGCUUUGAUACUACUUUCGAGCACUUUUCUUUACGGUUGUCAGAAAAAUCCUGCACUUAAUUAGAUCUGACACAUUAUGCAACCCUAUCUUAAUUUUAAAAUUAUUAACAUGACCUAACGGAUCCCCCAGACCAUUAUAGGAAUCUAAAUAUGGCAAUUCCAACUUCUAAGAAAAGUGCUCUGCUAGGAUGCUCGAGCAUAGGGGAUUACCCUUAAAGAGGACUUCAUCUCCCAUUAUCCUUCUCGUACGAUCUUUUUCAAAGCAUUAGCCUCCUCAAUCCAUGCAGAGUCAUGAUUCUGAGAACUAUAACUCUCUUUCUCGGUAUCUCUAACUCAGCUAUUUCUUUUCAAGACCGAUUAUCCUCCGCCCGAGUAUUUGUUCUCCUCAGAAUUUGUAUGUUGGUGGCGAACCAAUAUCAAUAGUAUGCCUGGUAAUUGCUAGAAUUCGACUGGUGCUUGUCGACGUAGCUUGCCUUUCAAGUGUUUGAGCCAGGGCACUCUCAUAAUACUUUUUCAUCUCUUCCACCUGUCGAUUAUACAUACUAACGAUGCCCUUUGGUAUUGUUGCUAAGGAUUCUAAGGAAGACCAGACGGUGAAGGUCAGCUCUAAGGUGUAAUAGGUAAUAGGAAGAAUGGUGUCUGAGGCAUAGGUGUUGAAGGUCUCUGUACCUUCUCCGUUUGUCGUGCAACUGAAACAUCUUCCGUGAAUGGUGGAUCUCUCUAGGUAUAAUUUCUACUGAAGAUCUGCUCAAGCAUAGGGUAAUUAUCAAAAAGAUUUCUUCUUUAAGGCUAGAAAAAUGGUAUGAUCAAUCUUGGGGGACCCGAGGAUCGCUGAUUGGCUUGCGGAGAAAUUAAAGAUCCAACAGGUUGAUUACUAGAACCAACCCAGUUUUCGGUGAGAGAACAUCCCCACUUUGAUCCUGACCAGAUGCCAUUUAGCUUAAUGAGGUAAGGAAAUAAAUCUUUUUGCAUAAGAGUUUCUCACAAAUGGCGCCAAUUGAUAACUCAGUCACAGAGUGAGCUAUCAAAAAGAUUUUGAAAGGUUAACUUGAUCUCCAAAGUAUCUGCAAGAAUGGGUAGAAAGUGUCGGACAGAUUUUUUCAGUCACUUACUCUGAUGAUUAGGUCAGUAAUUUGUGAAAGAGUAGCUUAAGUAUAAUGAGUGUAUAAAAUAGCAUGUACCUGUAAACAUUGUACCAUAGUUUCUUAUAUAGAUGUUGGAGGUCUCCUCGUCCUACUAAGACAAGAACUCUGUAGAUGUAGGUCGUCCCGAUUAUAUUAGGACUUAGUUCUCUUAUUUGCCACCAGAGUUCUAAGUUAGAUUGAACUUUUCAACUAGAGUCCGAUCAUGACACGAUCUCUUAAAUCCCCAUGUUGCAGUGGAAUAUAAACUUGGUUAACCCUAUUUUUUUAUCAUAGUAAAUUGACCGAUAAUACUUGGUUAUUAUUAAUUAUUUAAUUUAUAAUUAAUAAAAGACUUUUUAAUUCUUAACUAGACAAAUUUGAACUUAAUUUGUUUAAUAUAAUUAUUGAGUUUCAACUUCAACUUGAUUUGUCUAAUUAAUGAGUAGAGCUCAAGCUCUAACAUCAGAGGUAAACUCUUCUUUUGCAUCCCUAAGGAUAACCUUGGCUCUGUUUUUCUCUCUAGUAUUUGUUCAUUUGACUAUUAGCAAAAUUCUCUUGACAAGAUGAUCGAUGCCAUGAAAUACUUUGAAAAAUCACAUUUUCAAAUGUUAAAAGGGGCAUUUCUAUGGCGCACACAUAUGAUUCUCUUUUUCUUCCCAUGUCAAGCUAGUGUGAUCACAUAGAGCAGUAGGUUAGUAGUUCAAAUGUUUUCAUCAGGUUAUAAGAUUCUAAAUUUAAAUUUCAGAGGUCGUUUUUAAAGUAUUUAUACCUUUCUAAUAUCAUUCAACUUACAUUCUAAUUAGAUUUUUUUUAUUUAGCUACAGUAACGGACUUAAAUUCUAAUUUAUAGGUCUACAAACAUUCUGUAAUAAAAGAAAAUCUAUUUAAUUACGUUCAAUAGUCGCUACAAGUGGUGGCUCACUUUGUCUUAUUUGAUUGAAAAAAGAACUAGUGUGAAAAAAGGAAAAAGAAGAAAAAAAAGAAUUCCAUCUAACCCGGUUUACAUUAUUGACCAAAAAAGUUUUCAUUAUAAUUCAGAGGCAGAUGAUGAAUAGAAUUAUUACAAAAGGAAAUAAGAAAAAAGAAAGAAAAGAAGACAAAACAGAAAAACAGAAAUCAGUUAUAACAUCAAUAAAAAAUGAUGACAUCAUGGAACACUGGAAUAAGACAGGAGCAUGAUGGCAUUAACGUACAUGGAAAGAAUACGUGCCUCCAAAAUGCACCUCCCUAGGGACGUGUUUCGCUCACUUUCUGAAGAUAAAUAUGCAACUAUAUUUUAUUACGAAUUAGAGAUUAGAUUUAAUUCAAGAAAACAAUUUAGUGAUUAAAAUUUCUUGGUUUUUGUAAUUCUUUGAAUUCUUUUCCUUAUCCAGAAAAUAUUACAACAUCAUUCUAUUCCACUUUCUUUUUGUGUUAUAAAUUGAGGAGCUUGCGGUGACUCUUACAUCAACUUCUCUUAGUUCUUUACACAAAAGAAAAAGCUUGCUUCCUCUUCCGAACAAUCUUAAAAGCUUUUGGCAAUGGCUGCAUCUUUCUCUGGUCCUUCUAUGGUUAGCAUAACAAAACCUUCUCUUCUAUUUUUCUAUGUUUAAUUUGCCAACAUUGGGGUUUCUUAUUGUAAGAAUUCAGAAUUCAUUCUGUCAUAAUGGCGAACUAAACUAUUUUGGAUGUAGUUCAAUUAGUACUGAAAUCAUCUCAUUUUUAGAAGCGUGAGUUCUCCGAAUUAAUUAAUCCAAAAAAAAUGAGGGCAGCCCAUAUAUUUUAGCAUAUGUUAUGAUGGUUGCUAAGAUUCUUUAUUUGUUUUCUUAAAUUUGAAUUUAUAUUCUCCCUUUUAAGAUCAUUUCAUGAUCAUAUGAAGGGUUUGUUUCAAUCAGAAAUUUGAGAAAAGGAAAAAGUACAAAUUGAAGAACUAAAUUCUCAACCUCUGCAUUAUUUUCUCUGAGUCUGCAUUCUAAAAGCACAUUUUAGUUUCAGUUUAUACACUUAAUAGGCCCCUUUAUAUCUAGUCUAAUUCACUACUUAAGGUCUAUUUUAUCGCAUUUUUAAUUAAUUUUAUGUAUUAAACAUUUUAUAUUUGAAUAAGUCGCAUUUUAAAUUUAUGCUAAUAAGAGUAUAUUUAGCGUUAAAAUUUGAAAAAAAAAAGUGUUUCUUUUUAUCUUUAUUUUAUUUUUAAACUCUGAAAUUAUUUUUGCAAAAAGUAAAUUAAUUGAUGUUUUUUCUGAAAAAUAAUUUAAGGAAAAUUAUUUAUAAAAAAAUUUAAAAAAUUAAUAUUUUAGGUUAAAAAGAGAUUCUAAAUUUAUUUUUUUCAACACCCAAUAAUAAUAUCAAACACUCCAAGGGAAGUUGUAAUACACUUUUGUCUAUACGGUUCAAUAGAAUAGUUCUAUCAUUUGUUGUUUCUCUAUAAAGCAAGAACUUCAUCACAAACUUAAACGAGAUAAAGUAUAUAUUAGAUCAUAUUGUUAAGAUAUAUUGGACCUCACCGAGCAUUUUAGGCACCGUUUGGUCUCUUCUCUAAUUGUUAAUAAUAUUUCAAAACUUUUCAACUUUUUCUGCAAUACGUCUAAUACAUGGUAAUUACAGAUAUUCUUUUGUAUUUUCUUUUUCUUUAUGAAAAAACAUAAAAGGCAAUUAUAAAUGCUAUUAUGCUAUGACUGUCUAAUUCAAUGAAGAGCCAGAAUAAUAUUAUAUAUCAUUGUAUAAUUAAUUUUUGCUACUAGGUAGUUUCCUACUGCACCUGUGAUACUUUCAAGUGUUCAUCUUAUAGAAAGUAAAUAAAUAAUUUACUUUUUGUCUCAAGUUCAAUAAAUUGAAGUUUGAAAACUCAGAUCAAUUUAGUAUCAAAGUAACCUGUGAAGUGAUCGCUAAGGUUUUGUUUAGUUAGAACAUUUUGUAAUGAAUAUGAAAAUUAUGAUGAACAGAUAAUGGAAGAAGAAGGGAGAUUCGAGGCCGAAGUAGCUGAGGUGCAAGCAUGGUGGAACUCAGAAAGGUUCAAGCUAACCAGGAGACCGUACACUGCAAGAGAUGUUGUAGCAUUGAGAGGCAAUCUUAAACAAAGCUAUGCCUCAAAUGAAUUGGCAAAGAAACUGUGGAGAACUCUGAAAACCCAUCAAGCAAAUGGCACCGCCUCAAGAACCUUUGGUGCCCUUGACCCUGUCCAAGUAACCAUGAUGGCUAAACACUUGGACAGCAUUUAUGUUUCUGGUUGGCAAUGUUCAUCAACUCACACUACCACCAAUGAGCCAGGUCCUGAUCUUGCUGAUUAUCCUUAUGACACUGUCCCCAACAAAGUUGAACAUCUAUUCUUUGCUCAGCAAUAUCAUGACAGGAAGCAAAGAGAGGCUAGAAUGAGCAUGAGCCGCGAGGAGAGGGCUAGAACCCCUUAUGUUGAUUAUCUUAAGCCAAUUAUUGCUGACGGGGAUACUGGAUUUGGCGGAACUACCGCUACCGUUAAGCUUUGUAAAUUGUUCGUUGAGCGUGGAGCGGCUGGUGUUCAUAUUGAGGAUCAGUCUUCUGUUACCAAGAAAUGUGGUCAUAUGGCAGGGAAAGUGCUUGUUGCUAUUAGUGAACAUAUUAAUAGACUUGUUGCAGCAAGGUUGCAGUUUGAUGUUAUGGGUGUGGAGACACUUUUGGUUGCAAGAACUGAUGCCGAGGCAGCUAAUUUAAUUCAAAGUAAUGUGGAUACUAGAGAUCAUCAGUUCAUUUUGGGUGUUACUAAUCCAAAUCUUAGAGGGAAAAGCUUGGCUACCCUUUUGGCAACUGGAAUGGCUAAUGGUAAAACAGGAGCUGAACUUCAAGCUAUUGAGGACAAUUGGCUAGCAAUGGCACAGCUUAAGACAUUUCCCGAAUGUGUAAUGGAUGCAAUUAAGAAUAUGAAUGCCGGAGAAGAUGAGAAGAGAAGGAGAAUGAAUGAAUGGAUGAAUCAUACUAGCUAUGACAAGUGCCUUUCUUAUGAGCAAGGAAGGGAGAUUGCUGAUAGAAUGGGGCUCAAGAAUCUCUUCUGGGAUUGGGAUUUGCCAAGAACAAGGGAAGGGUUUUAUAGAUUUAAAGGUUCUGUUAUGGCUGCUGUUGUUCGCGGCAGGGCUUUUGCUCCUCAUGCUGAUAUUAUCUGGAUGGAGACUGCAAAGCCAGACUUCGCUGAAUGCACCGCAUUUGCAGAAGGGGUGAAAUCCAUGCACCCAGAAAUCAUGUUAGCUUAUAAUCUUUCACCAUCUUUCAACUGGGAUGCAUCAGGAAUGACCGAUGAACAAAUGAGAGAUUUCAUUCCCAGGAUAGCCAGGUUGGGAUUCUGUUGGCAGUUUAUAACACUGGGAGGUUUCCAUGCUGAUGCCCUCGUGAUUGAUACGUUUGCAAAAGACUAUGCCAGGAGGGGAAUGCUGGCAUAUGUGGAGAGGAUCCAGAGAGAGGAAAGGAAAAAUGGGGUUGACACUCUUGCCCAUCAGAAAUGGUCCGGUGCUAACUAUUAUGAUAGGUACCUGAAAACAGUCCAGGGAGGUAUCUCUUCCACUGCUGCCAUGGGGAAAGGCAAGUACUAAAGAAACUGGCAACAAUUCUUAACAAUUUUACAAAUUGGUCAUUCUAAUGUUUUUUUUUUACAGGGGUGACCGAAGAGCAGUUCAAAGAGACAUGGACAAGGCCUGGGGCGAUGGAAAUGGGAAGUGCAGGGAGCGAGGUGGUUGCCAAGGCAAGGAUGUAGGAGAGCAUGGCAUUCGAGUAUAUGGUCAAGUAAAGCUCUUGCAAUUUGAGAUAUUAGCCAGUUCCCAUAUUUUGGAACUGGGGUCAAUAAUUUGUGGCAAUAAUUUAAUAGGC